rnacentral:misc_RNA from 1 species
AAAAUGGCGUGCAGAUACUUUUACAGUGAUCUAAUGACUAGAAGCUUUGUUCUCAAAACCUUCAGACCUGGGAAUAAAUACAUUCAUGUGUAUAAUUCUCCACUCCUGAUUAGAUUUCUAGAAAUUAAGUGAUAAGUAGUCAUUGGGGCUGAAACAUUUUCAUACUCUUCAAUCGAGAGAACUGAAUAUGCUAAGCAGUUUGUUGCUUUUGGUUUUUCUUGAAUAGCAAGACAUGAAAAUGGUCUACAUAUUGUCCUGCACCAUGAUGAGUACUUGCAUAUAAAUUUUGUUUUUAUGUUUGCUUCUGCAGGGAAUUAUAUUGAAAGAGAACG